ACAAACUUGGUCAUUUAGAGGAAGUAAAAGUCGUAACAAGGUUUCCGUAGGUGAACCUGCGGAAGGAUCAUUAUUGAGUACUGGGCUGUGGCUUGACAAGUGCAUCGUGCUUGUCUGCUGCAGCUCUUUCUCUCUACCCCCUACUAUUUCUUAUUUAGUUGCUUUGGCAGUUGCAUCUGCAGCUGUCAAGGGACCCUUUGAAACCCUUUGUAUUGUAAAUAAUAGAGAAAUCUUUUUGUCUGAUUUGAAUACCUAAUAGUAUUAAAAACUUUCAACAAUGGAUCUCUUGGUUCUGGCAUCGAUGAAGAACGCAGC
rnacentral:misc_RNA from 1 species